UGGGGAAUUUUGGACAAUGGGGGAAACCCUGAUCCAGCCAUCCCGCGUGUGCGAUGAAGGCCUUCGGGUUGUAAAGCACUUUUGGCAGGAAAGAAACGUCAUGGGUUAAUACCCCGUGAAACUGACGGUACCUGCAGAAUAAGCACCGGCUAACUACGUGCCAGCAGCCGCGGUAAUACGUAGGGUGCAAGCGUUAAUCGGAAUUACUGGGCGUAAAGCGUGCGCAGGCGGUUCGGAAAGAAAGAUGUGAAAUCCCAGAGCUCAACUUUGGAACUGCAUUUUUAACUACCGGGCUAGAGUGUGUCAGAGGGAGGUGGAAUUCCGCGUGUAGCAGUGAAAUGCGUAGAUAUGCGGAGGAACACCGAUGGCGAAGGCAGCCGCCUGGGAUAACACUGACGCUCAUGCACGAAAGCGUGGGGAGCAAACAGG
rnacentral:rRNA from 1 species